GUACAUAGGAAAAUGGGCAUGUCCUAAAGGUAGUGCUUGAGAAGAAACUCUGUAAAUGGGGAGUAUCAGCAUGAAUUGUAAAUAGACUUUGUGACUUGCAAUCAGCAUUUGUACUACUGAAACUUGUAAGGUAAGGGAGUGUUGUUUCUUUCAUUUUUUAAUGUACAAAUCAAGAUUCUGGUCAUCUUUGACUACGUUUCUCUGGGCAGCACAAAAUCGAGAAAAGUUAUGUAUUCAGAGGAAAAGCCUUGUUCACAAGUCAACAUUAAAAAAAAAGUGGUGUCCCAAAGCAGGCUUUUUACAAAUUUUAAAGCAUAGAUACUAACUUGUGUAGCUAGUACAUUCCCAGGCCUUGAAAAAAUGUUUUAUUUGAUAGUAUUAUAACAGGAACUACAUGAAAAAAGGAAAGUUAAGGGUGAAGAUUUGGGAGAGCUGAAAUACCAAAAAAAACCCAAGUGAAUGCUUAGUUAGGAUUAUUAGUUGUAUCUUUGUGUCCAUGCUUUUAUUGCAUUUCACUUUCUAAACCUUGGUGACUCUUGUCUUUCUGUGUCUCCUUACCCAGAGCUAAGAAAAGAAAGCACAUUGUGGAUCUUGCUUAUGGCUUGUUCAUUUUUUAUUUUUGUUUUGUUUCACAGUGAAGCAUGCUGUUACUUCCUUACUCUUUUGUUUCUUGGUCUGUAUUUCAGAAAGAAGCAGUAUGUUUUCUUUCUGAAAUGAAGAAUUACAAUAGAUUUCAUGUAUGAAACACCUGCACAGUAAGAAAUGAAGCAGAACUUUUCAGCUCUUGCUGUUCCAUGGCGAGAUUUCUGUUGCCUUUCCUUCCUGUAAACAAAGGCAGUC
rnacentral:lncRNA from 1 species